rnacentral:rRNA from 1 species
GAUGAACGCUGGCGGCGUGCCUAACACAUGCAAGUCGAGCGAAAAGACGAUGAGCUUGCGCCCUUGACGUUAGCGGCGGACGGGCGAGUAACACGUGCAUAACCUACUUAUUUGACUGGGAUAAUUACGGGAAGCCGGAUACGAUACCGGAGCAUAUGAUGAACCGCAGGGUUCAAUAGUUAAAGACGGUUUUGCUGUCACUAAUAGAUGGUUCCGCGCCGGAUUAGCUAGUUGGUAAGGUAACGGCAUACCAAGGCAACGAUGCGUAGCCGACCUGAGAGGGUGAUCGGCCACACUGGAACUGAGACACGGUCCAGACUCCUACGGGAGGCAGCAGUAGGGAAUCUUCGGCAAUGGGCGCAAGCCUGACGCAGCAACGCCGCGUGAGUGAAGAAGGUCUUCGGAUCGUAAAGCCCUGUUAUUGGGGAAGAACAGCUGUGUGAUUAACUAUGCACGUCUUGACGGUACCUAAUCAAAAAGCACCGGCUAACUACGUG